GGUCAGUCGAUGAAGCGAGCGCACGUGAAGCGAGGCGAUUUUUAAUCAAAGUGUAUUUCUCUGACGUGAUUUCAAAUUAAUAAUGUUUAAGUGCUAAUAAUUCAAGGUUUUAAAUUGAAGGCAUUCUGCAAUCUCGCGUGUUUCCCAUCAGCAUCAAUGACAGAUAUUCAGACCGUGAGCUGUGCAGCCUCUUUCGCUAAGGACUUCAGGGCCCCGAUGUCCCCCAGUAGCGAAGAGAUGCCCAUGCAGUACCACUGCUCACCACUGCUGGCAGUAGAGGCACUGAAGGACUGCAGCUCCACACCUGCUGCCGCCAAAACCCCUGAGAAAGAUAGGAAAGCAGCAUUAUUUUUAAGUGUCAUCAUUCACUCAUAAGCCAUUCUCAACCCAUGUUUUUUUCCAUAUAAUGAAAGCAUAAAGAAGCACUUUUAUAGUAUUGUUAGUUUUGUUUUAGUUUUUAGUGCUAUAUAGUUUUUUGCAAAUUGACAGCACCUAUAUGGAUGAAAAAAAUAAAGGGAAAAACUAACCUUGCAGACUGUUUACAUUUUAAUUUAUAUAAAUUUUAAUUUAAAUGAUAUUUAUAAUUUAUAAAUAUUUAAGUAUGUGAAAACACUCAUAUAACUGUAACUGUAAAUAAAAUUACCUGUAUCAAAAAAUAAGUUUCUUGUGCCUUUUGACCAAUAAAUUUUAAGUUUUUUUUUUUUUUUUUUAAAUGAUACUCUUAAAGAGCAAUUUCUGAGCUGAAUAUCACUUUUAAACUUCCUAAUAUUACUAGGUUUUCCAUCAGUUUCCCUGCAGAAACUCAUCUCCGAUGUUCUUUCCAUUUAAGGUUGUUUGUGCAGAAUGUGAAUCAGCCUUUACCGGUCACAGAGAGCAGGAGCUCGGUGGAAUUGGAUGCUUUGAAGAACAGCAGGUGUCCAGUGAGAGGAACAGGCUGUCGAAACACACUUCCAUUCAGCUCCAGCAGCACAGGAACCCCGGCCUGCACCGAGCCAACAGUCGUAAAGCUACUGCCAUUCACAGAGACCUCCACCACACACACCUCACGCUCAUCCGAGUCUUUAUGAUCCGUCUGCACCUGGUGGUUUGUGACACAGGGACAGAUCAGAGCACUGCUGGGAAAAUAAAACACCUAGAUGGCGUGCUUUAACUUAAAAUACGGAGUAGUUCAAAAAUAUAAAAUUAACUGUAAAGAAGUCUUACUGUAAUUCCGGUCUCUGCAGCUAGAGGCAGUGCAUUCACCAAGUUGGGGCCUUUCUGAGGACCUUCAGCGAGCAAACCAACUACAGCUGCUGAGCUCAAAAACCCAGAGGACUUCUUCAAGGAUUCCCCUGAACAGCAAAAAUAAAUAAAUGCAUAUUUGAUAUAUUAUUGUUAAA